rnacentral:rRNA from 1 species
UACGAAGGGGGCGAGCGUUGUUCGGAUUUACUGGGCGUAAAGGGCGCGCAGGCGGCCAUUCAAGUCAGGCGUGAAAGCCCCGGGCUUAACCUGGGAGGUGCGUCUGGGACUGGGUGGCUAGAGAUCGGGAGAGGAGAGUGGAAUUCCCAGUGUAGAGGUGAAAUUCGUAGAUAUUGGGAAGAACACCGGUGGCGAAGGCGGCUCACUGGCCCGUAACUGACGCUCAUGCACGACAGCGUGGGGAUCAAACAGG